AGAUUGAACGCUGGCGGCAUGCCUUACACAUGCAAGUCGAACGGCAGCACGGGAGCAAUCCUGGUGGCGAGUGGCGAACGGGUGAGUAAUAUAUCGGAACGUGCCCAGUCGUGGGGGAUAACGCAGCGAAAGCUGUGCUAAUACCGCAUACGAUCUAUGGAUGAAAGCGGGGGAUCGCAAGACCUCGCGCGAUUGGAGCGGCCGAUAUCAGAUUAGCUAGUUGGUGGGGUAAAAGCCUACCAAGGCGACGAUCUGUAGCUGGUCUGAGAGGACGACCAGCCAGACUGGAACUGAGACA
rnacentral:rRNA from 1 species